UACAAAGCCAGGCAAUUUCUGAGCCAAACAAACAAAGGAUGUGUAAGCGAUUUCAUUUAUUUUGAUAAUCCUCCUCCAACACUGGAGCAUUUUGCUGUCUUUGUCAAAGUGAAUGACAACAAUUUGGCCAACUCUCUCUGAGCUGCGCUCAACAGUGACAGGCAAAUUAUCAGAGGCCCUGCACUUCUUAUUAUCAGAGGAGAAGUCAUCAGGAGGACGCAUGGAGGAUCCCUCUCCCUUGUCACUAUUUGUCAGUGGGACAAGGGCCACUGCUAUGGGUAGCUGACAGGACCAAGAAAGGAAACAUUUGAAGGGAUGGAUAGAAAUGGAUGGUUUGUGAGACUGUCUAACUCUGAUUCAGAGCCCCUCAAACUAAAACCAAGUGGAUCAAACAUGCGUGUUGCCUAGACUGAGGUGAAGUUGAAUGGACACCCCAUAUAUACUGGACAGUCACAAUUAAAGGACAGUGAACUUGGCCCAAAACAGAAUUGGAGGAGAAAGAUGGACUGGUUUGCCUUUGGAAAUUGUACAGUGCUAUUCAAGACCCCAAGUUUCCAUAGAAAACAAAGUUUUUAUGUUUUUAAUACCAAGAUUCAUCUGGUGAUGAUGUCUGCCCUUGAGUCGAAGAAUGCUACAGUCUCUGAAGAAUUAAAGUUGCAGAGGGAAAUGGAGAGGCACAUGGGUGGAAGGAGGUUGCAACUGGGGAGAAGUGAAUAAAAGGAUAUUAUCAGAAGGACAAUCCUCAGGAAAAAGUGAUGAGCCAAUCAUGAAGUGAGAAUGAGAGAUGCUUGACAGACAGUCUUUAUAUUCUAUCAAUAUCUACACAAUUUCAAGGAAUUCAGAGGAAGACCCUUAGCACCUAAGUUGGGGGAGUAGGAUAUGGAAGAUUUAUAGGAAAAUGUGGACAAAUAUCACAUAAGAUGAGAAGUGUG